AGCAGCCGCGGUAAUUCCAGCUCCAAUAGCGUAUAUUAAAGUUGUUGCAGUUAAAAAGCUCGUAGUUGAAUUUCGGGAUCAGUAUGUUGGUCGUGCUUCGGUACGUACUGUCAUUACUGGUUUCUACCUUCUGAAGAACCUUGAUGUCAUUAAUUUGGUGUCUUGGGGAAUCAGGACUGUUACUUUGAAAAAAUUAGAGUGUUUAAAGCAAGCAUACGCUUGAAUACAUUAGCAUGGAAUAAUGAAAUAGGACGUUUGAUUCUAUUUUGUUGGUUUCUAGGAUCGACGUAAUGAUUAAUAGGGAUAGUUGGGGGCAUUAGUAUUCAAUUGUCAGGGGUGAAAUUCUUGGAUUUAUUGAAGACUAACUACUGCGAAAGCAUUUGCCAAGGAUGUUUUCAUUAAUCAAGAACGAAAGUUAGGGGAUCGAAGACGAUCAGAUACCGUCGUAGUCUUAACCAUAAACUAUGCCGACUAGGGAUCGGAUGAUGUUAUUUUUAAUGACUCAUUCGGCGCCUUACGG
rnacentral:rRNA from 1 species